rnacentral:lncRNA from 1 species
ACAAAUGAUUAUGAAGAAGAAAUUUUUAGAUUACAAAAAAUAAUCAAGGAUAGGGAAAAUGAAAACGUGGAAUUAAGAGUUAAUUUUCGAGAAUUACUGCAAGAAAAAAUUAAAUUAGAAGAAGAUAUUGAAAAUUAUGAGAAGGCUAUUUACGAAAUUAACGAAAAUACAACUGCGUUGAAAGAAGCACAUAAGGCAGAAAUAAAAGAAAUUCAAGAAGAAAACUGGAAUCUUUAUUUACAGAUAGAUUUGCUUAAGGAAAACUUAAAUAUUUUGGAAGAAAAAUGUAAUCAGUUACAGAAUUUUAAUGAAGAUAAAACUAAAAACAUUGAUAUUUUAAAUAAAGAAGUACAGGACUUGAUGAUAAUAUAAUAUUGUGUUUAUUUUUUACCGUUUUCGAUACGAUAAUUGAUUUUUUACUACACACAUUAAUUAGGAUAAGAAAACGACAUAUGCAAUAGAAAUUGACAAAAUUUUAAUAGAAAAAAAUAAUAUUAGAAUUGAAAGGGAAGAAUUUGAUAAAUCUAAAACAGAAUUUAAAAUAAUAGAAGAAAAGUUAUACGAAGAAAAAAAAGAAUUUGAAAAGAACAAAGAUGAGUUUUUAAAAGAAGUAAAACAACUACAAAAAUGUAUAGAUAUAUUGGAAAAAGAAAAAAAAGAAAUAUUGGAAAAUAAAAAAAAGUUAGAAACAGACA